ACGCUGUUAGCUCAGCAGGAUGGAGCAAUUGACUUCGAAGCACACAGGUUCGACUCCAGUACAGCGUAUCA
rnacentral:tRNA from 3 species